CAGCAGCCGCGGUAAUACGGAGGGCGUGAGCGUUACCCGGAUUUACUGGGCGUAAAGCGUGCGUAGGCGGUGAGUUAAGUCUGCUGUGAAAUCCCCGGGCUCAACCUGGGAAUGGCAGUGGAUACUGGCUCGCUAGAGUGUGUCAGAGGAUGGUGGAAUUCCCGGUGUAGCGGUGAAAUGCGCAAAUACCGGGAGGAACGCCGAUGGCGAAGGCAGCCACCUGGUCCACUUCUGACGCUGAGGCGCGAAAGCGUGGGGAGCAAACCGGAUUAGAUACCCGCGUAGUCCCUGUCUCUUAUAC
rnacentral:rRNA from 1 species